UAGGGAAUCUUCGGCAAUGGGGGGAACCCUGACCGAGCAACGCCGCGUGAGUGAAGAAGGUUUUCGGAUCGUAAAGCUCUGUUGUUAAGGAAGAACGAGUGUGAGAAUGGAAAGUUCAUGCUGUGACGGUACUUAACCAGAAAGGGACGGCUAACUACGUGCCAGCAGCCGCGGUAAUACGUAGGUCCCGAACGUUGUCCGGAUUUAUUGGGCGUAAAGCGAGCGCAGGCGGUCAAUUAAGUCUGAUGUGAAAGCCCCCGGCUCAACCGGGGAGGGUCAUUGGAAACUGGUUGAAUUGAGUGCAGAAGAGGAGAGUGGAAUUCCAUGUGUAGCGGUGAAAUGCGUAGAUAUAUGGAGGAACACCAGUGGCGAAGGCGACUCUCUGGUCUGUAACUGACGCUGAGGCUCGAAAGCGUGGGUAGCAAACAGG
rnacentral:rRNA from 1 species